UACAUAGGGGGCAAGCGUUAUCCGGAUUUACUGGGUGUAAAGGGAGCGUAGACGGCGAAGCAAGUCUGAUGUGAAAGGCAGGGGCUCAACCCCUGGACUGCAUUGGAAACUGUUUUGCUAGAGUGCCGGAGAGGUAAGCGGAAUUCCUAGUGUAGCGGUGAAAUGCGUAGAUAUUAGGAGGAACACCAGUGGUGAAGGCGGCUUACUGGACGGUAACUGACGUUGAGGCUCGAAAGCGUGGGGAGCAAACA
rnacentral:rRNA from 1 species